rnacentral:tRNA from 1 species
UCCCGAUUGGUGUAGUGGCUAACAUUGCCGCCUCUCAUACGGUUCGCGGCAGCCCGGGGUUCAAUUCCCCGAUCGGGAA